UUCUAUCAGAUGAUUCUGAAACAUCUGGAACCAUUAUAUAAUACGAGUGCUAGGCUACAUUAGAAUUCAAUUUGUUGAUGUUUUAUUUGUAAGAAUAAGUCUGAAGCAAUCUUUAUAGUUACUGGAUUUGGAAAAGAAUUAAGGAUGCCAAGUGAUGGCGACAGCUUAUAUAGCCUAUAGGGCCAGGUGAUCCUUAGAUUGUACAACUGAGAGAAGACAGACACCAAGUGAUGGCAAAAGCUCAAAUAGCCCUUUGGUCCAGGAUUUUUUUCCCAGGAAACUGUCACCAUGGGCAGAGAUGCAAAUUAAUGCUUCAAAAAGAUCAAUCUUUCAUUGGUGGAAUGUAUGCUUAUUCACAGAAAAGAUCCACAUGUAUUUGCA